UGGGAAUUUUGGACAAUGGGCGCAAGCCUGAUCCAGCCAUGCCGCGUGCGGGAAGAAGGCCUUCGGGUUGUAAACCGCUUUUGUCAGGGAAGAAAUCUUCUGAGUUAAUACCUCGGGAGGAUGACGGUACCUGAAGAAUAAGCACCGGCUAACUACGUGCCAGCAGCCGCGGUAAUACGUAGGGUGCAAGCGUUAAUCGGAACUACUGGGCGUAAAGCGUGCGCAGGCGGUUUUGUAAGACAGAGGUGAAAUCCCCGGGCUCAACCUGGGAACUGCCUUUGUGACUGCAAGGCUUGAGGUGCGGCAGAGGGGGAUGGAAUUCCGCGUGUAGCAGUGAAAUGCGUAGAUAUGCGGAGGAAACACCGAUGGCGAAGGCCAAUCCCCUGGGCCUGCACUGACGCUCAUGCACGAAAGCGUGGGGAGC
rnacentral:rRNA from 1 species